UACGUAGGGUGCGAGCGUUAAUCGGAAUUACUGGGCGUAAAGAGCGCGCAGGCGGUCGUUCAAGUCGAGUGUGAAAGCCCCCGGCUCAACUGGGGAGGGUCACUCGAUACUGAUCGACUCGAAGGCAGGAGAGGGAAGCGGAAUUCCCGGUGUAGUGGUGAAAUGCGUAGAUAUCGGGAGGAACACCAGUGGCGAAGGCGGCUUUCUGGCCUGCCUCUUGACGCUGAGGCGCGAAAGCUAGGGUAGCAAACGGG
rnacentral:rRNA from 1 species